CUCAGUCUUUGGUUGCUGGCUUUGGAAGAGUUAGGACUUGUGGUUAAAUAAUUAAGGCUUUAACUUGAAUUAAGUAACUGAAGAGUGGAAGGUUCGUUUAGGGUGUCCUUAGUGUUUAGUGGUAGCUGCUGAGCGGGAGGGACGAGCGGCAGAUGAGAAAAUGAAGUGGGUUUGGGACCCAGCGCGUGGCGAGGAGGCGCAUAAUGGAGGAACAGGAACCUGAAUCCUCGUUGCACUGGCCCGUUGUCUCCCAGUGGAAGUGGGUUUACGAAGAUGAUGCAAAGAGCAGAUACAGAAUGAAGUGAGUGGAAUCUGCAGCCAUGAGCUGAUGCAGGUGUUUCAGCAUGGUCUUUCCUCUGGAGAUGGCUCUUUUGGCUUGUCCACACACAGUUGGUGUCUGUCCCAUGUCUGCAUGGCACUGUCAGCCUCAAUCAGCUGGACCUCAAUACAACAGAAAGACCAGGUGUGUAACAUGAGGUGACCUUCACAAGCUCCAAAGAUGCUCAGGAUGUCUGAUUAAUGGAAGCAUUAAGACAGACCAUGCAUUUCCUCCAUUGCUGUUCAUUUGAGUCAGCUUCAUCAGUGUGAAGGUUGACCUUUUUGGAACCAGUAUAAAGUGUUUUUUUUUUUUUUUUUUAAAUGUUAGUGUGCCAUAAACUUGUGAAACUAUCCUGAUUGGAGAGUGAAAACAUACUGCAUUUUUUUAUUUUUAUUUUUCCCCUGAGUGCGCUUCACAUGACUGAACCAGACAUUUCAGUGACAUAAAUGAAAUCGAACCCACUGAAACGACAGAAACCUGUGGAGCAAGGCAUGAAAAGCAGUUAAAUUAGGUGGGUUUGGUCAUGUCUUUAAAAAGUUGCUGUUUACUAGUGAUGGACGGAUGAAACCUUGAAGUUUUUCAAAUGGUUUAAAAAUUUAAUGUGCACACAAAGCCCUCGGCUGGUCAAAACCUUAGUCAUUUCAGUGAUUUGUGAUGACCUCUUGGCUGUUUUGGAACGUGGCAGCAUGGGAUUCACUCCAAAAAUGCAAAUAAAGACCUUAACUUGA